AGAGAGAGACAUGCGCGCAUAUCAAUAAGCGGAGGAAAAGAAACUAACAUAGGAUUCCUCUAGUAACGGCGAGUGAAGCGGGAAGAGCUCAAAUUUGAAAUCUUCAAGGUUCUACCUUGACGAAUUGUAGUUUAAAGAAGUGAUUUCUGUUGGAAGUUUUGGUAAAAGUUCUUUGGAAUAGGACAUCAUAGAGGGUGAGAAUCCCGUAUUUGACCAUUAUUUUCAGCUUUGUGAUACACUUUCAAAGAGUCGGAUUGUUUGGGAAUGCAGUCCAAAAUGGGUAGGUAAAUUUCAUCUAAAGCUAAAUAUUGGCGAGAGACCGAUAGCGAACAAGUACCGUGAGGGAAAGAUGAAAAGAACUUUGAAAAGAGAGUUAAACAGUACGUGAAAUUGUCAAAAGGGAAGCGUUUGACACCAGUGUUGUUUUUCUGAAAAUCAAUUAAAGAACUGUUUAUGCUAAGCUGUUUAGACUUUAUCAGCUAUCUGUUUAGUUUUGAGCUUUUCUUUAAUGCACUUUUCAGUUAACAAGUCAACAUCAAUUUCUUUUGCUGUAAAAAAGCUUGAGGAAGGUGGCUUGAGAUUCGUCUUAAGUGUUUAUAGCCUCUUGCCUAUGCAGUCGGAGAGAUUGAGGUCUGCAGCGUAGAUCCUUCGGGGCUAAAUGCAUUUGUGCUAAGUUAUAGCAUUUUAUAGACAACUUGUUGACUAUGAUUUGUCUUGUAGCUUACUCGCUUAUGUUAUUUUACCUACGCUUAGGAUGUUGAUGUGAUACUGCGAGC
rnacentral:rRNA from 1 species